UACGUAGGGUGCGAGCGUUAAUCGGAAUUACUGGGCGUAAAGCGUGCGCAGGCGGUUCGCUGUGUCCGAUGUGAAAGCCCCGGGCUUAACCUGGGAAUGGCAUUGGAAACUGGCGGGCUUGAGUGCGGCAGAGGGGGGUGGAAUUCCGCGUGUAGCAGUGAAAUGCGUAGAUAUCUGGAGGAACACCGGUGGCGAAGGCGGCAUUCUGGACCGACAUUGACGCUGAGGAGCGAAAGCCAGGGGAGCAAACGGG
rnacentral:rRNA from 1 species